GCUUAGCCCUAAACCUAAGUAGCCAAACAACAAUGCUACUCGCCAGAGUACUACUAGCAACAGCUUAAAACUCAAAGGACUUGGCGGUGCUUUACAUCCCUCUAGAGGAGCCUGUUCUGUAACCGAUAAACCCCGAUAAACCUCACCAACUCUUGCUAAUACAGCCUAUAUACCGCCAUCUUCAGCAAACCCUAAAAAGGAGACAAAGUAAGCAUAACCAUAAAACAUAAAAACGUUAGGUCAAGGUGUAGCCUAUGAGUUGGGAAGAAAUGGGCUACAUUUUCUAGCAUAGAACACCAACGAAAAUUUUCGUGAAACCGAGAAUAGAAGGAGGAUUUAGUAGUAAAUUAAGAAUAGAGAGCUUAAUUGAAUAAGGCCAUGAAGCAC
rnacentral:rRNA from 1 species